UGACGUCAGCCUUUUGCAGAAAGCAAAACCAUUUAAAGUAUUUUUUGGGUUGAUUAUUCACCGUCAGGAGAGCAGCACAGGGAUCACCGAAUGACCCCCUGCUUUCAGCUGCCUGCAGCUCAGCAACAUUACUUACGCUACACAGAAGGGCUUUGCAUCGCUUAGAAAUAUGUUCCCCUGGAGAGCGUUCCACCCUAUGCUUCACCCGGCUGAGACUGGCCAAAGGCAGUGUUCAUCAUGGUCAAGAGCAGAGUAACAUGGUCUAGAGCAGUCACAGGCACGGGUCGAUGGUUGGACUGGAUGAUCUUAGUGGUCUUUCCAAUCUUAAUGACUCUGUGAUUCAUCUCUAUCCCAGGUUAAAACAACCCGUGGAGCUGGCAGGGGUGAGAUGUAUUCUCAUUUCACACCAUCCCUCUUAGGAUCUCCGAUUCACGGAGUAAAAGCACAAAGAGAGCUCAAACUCCAAAAAACGUGCGUGCCAUCUUAGCAAGAGAGCUGUGGUUACUCUGAAUGCAAACAGGAGUAGAAGGUGAAGCGGGAGGUAACCACAGCGCCUGCAGCGAUCUGAUACGGGCAGGAAGCCAUGAUUAGAUGCACACUGGGGCAUUGUGCUUCUUGUAUCAGCUCUGGCCUCGCAGCUCGUGAAAUCAGAUCCUGAGCUAUUUUGAAAACAAGUUACUAUUUGAAAUUAUUUGUCGACUUAGCGUUGCUAUGUUGAGGGCUGCUGAGCUGAGAGGGCUGUGCUGUGCUCCAGGUCCUGGAAGGGUCCCGGGGGCUGAAGUGGGGCACCACAAGGUUCUGCAAAGAGAGGGAUGCCCACCCAUGGCUCAGGGUGCACGUUUCUCACUUAAAACCAUAUUCAGAGUGGAAGUAAAUGAAACACACUCUUCAUCAGAUGUCAGUUCCCCCUCCGCUCCUUAUGCACCCAGAAAAAGGGAUGGGCUUGGCAGCACUGCCAUAGGAACCAGCAGUGAGUAGGUCUGGGGUAAGAAAUGAGGUGAAUUCCCAGAUGAGAAUCGUUUCUGGAGAAUGCCCAUCCCUUCUCGUCCAGCACAUGCCAGACGGGUCCUGGCGCGGUUGCCUCCCUGAUCUCAGCUGCCACGGGACAGGAAAAAGCAGGAGCAGACUCGCUAUAGGGCCACUUCCAGCCCGUGUCAGAAACAGCCUUAAAUCCCAGCUGCGAGGCUCCCCGGGAUGCAGCGCUGUGAGUUCUGGCACAGCCCCGUGUUUGCCAGAUGGAUGGCUGCUCCUGGCACCAUUUCCAGCUUCUGGAUACAUACAUAAUGCAGCGAGACCUCUAUGUACAGAAGAAAAAUCAUGUUCUUCCAGGCACAGAGAGAUGAAAAAGUGCCCCCCACACAACUGCUACUGCAAGCAACCAUUGCCUAAGUAGGCAAAUGAUGGAUUUCCAGGUUAAAGUCUUACAUUUUCCAGCAUAUUUCUAGCGGGAUGCUAGGACUUCUCUCUGAUAGACAACCCUCUGCCCGAUUUGGAUUGAACUGCAUGCUCCCACAUUGCUGUUUUCACAGUCCCGGAUAACAAAGGGAGGAGGAAAAAAAAAGCUGGAAAACCUCAGAACAAGUUGUAUCAGAUGUCUUCCCAAUAUUUGUGUAACGCAGAACUUUGCUGCUGAAUAAGGAAAUGCGGCGCAUGACGCAACCCAUUGAAUUCAUGCUUUGACUUGAACGACGUGCCUCGGCUUUGCACCACUUGGUAGGGCUCGUGGUAACGAAAGGAGAGGCCUAAUGACUGCUUCAUCAAUAGAGAAGUAGCACUUCUAUUGUCUUCUAAAACUCAGCAAAUAGUGCAUGGGGAGGAGGAAAUGUACGGUGUGCUUGGGAAGCUUGAGGCAGGAGGCUGAAGCCCCGAUGGCAGUGGGGUGAUGCCGUACACAGUGCCUCGGCCACACUGGGUCCGUGGGGUUGUGCAGCCUCAGAAGGUGUUAAUUCUGACCCUUGUCCUCCUGCCACCAAAGCAAGCUGUUGCUGAGAAAGGCGCAGAGCAGGGGACAUACCCAGUGCCCCGGAUGGCAGAUAUCUCACGGAGAGUCCCAGUUCAGAGGAGGCAGCAGCGCGUUGUCACAAGGCCAGGAUGUGCUCGGUUGCUGGGGAGCAGACCCCGUUAGUCACCGUCAUGCUCUGUGUCAGCACGGCCAUGCCACCGCUCCCACACCCUUCUGCUUUUGCAAGGGAGGUGCAGAAAGUCCCUUCCUGCACGCAGCACCCAGCAGUCAGAGCUGCUGAAUCCACUGCUGGCGUGCUCCAACAACAGAGCAGCGGGUCCCACGGCACACCCACAGGGCACUGAAAUUGGGGAUGGGUAAUGAGUGCUGAGCUUUGAUGUCCAUGAAGGUUUAUCACUGAUCCCACCGAGAGCAGCAGCAGCCCCGUGAAGGCUGGCCAGCUUUGGCGGGCCUCUCAAGCUUAACCAAUGUUCCUGUGAAUUCACACCUCCUGCUGCCAUGGUCUCUUUUGGGACAGUUCAGUGGUUUUUUGCAAAAAGUAAAGACACAAGUGCCAUGGCAAUUCCUUCCAUUUGUCAGUGCUGCAUCUGCAGAAUAUUCUGACCAGCCCUACGGCAGAACGGUGGAUACGGGGCAGUGGAAGACCCCUGUUGCUGAACAAACAGGGUCUUUUAAAGCCUAUUCUUGCAGCAAAUUAUCUUAAAGAGGGAGGAAAAUAUUUUUAAAGCACUGAAGUAAUCAGUGCUGCUGUUUUGAAACCUCUGACAGAGAGCUGAACAAGCAGUGACAGUGUUCUUCCUUCCUUAUAUCUGCAUCUAAUGAGCAAAGGAAGAGUCGGGAUGGAAAGUUCCUUGUCAGACAGGGCAAGAAAAAAGCAUUCAUUGCAGUGUGCGGUGUUGAAAUCACCUCCCCUCUCUGUGCACACGUACAUGCGAUCACACAUUUAUCUGUAUAAAUACACAUUCUGCAGGGCAUAUAUUAGUUCAUUUGUAAUAAUACACAGUGCUGGGAUGGUAUUCCAGCAAGGACAGAUCCACGGGGUAGCUUGUUUUCACUCCUCUGGCUCCUGAUGAAACUCAAAACAUGUGUUCACUUAUGUUAAAAUGUUUAAUUUCAAACUAAAGUUGGUUUCCAGGCCAGAUGUGACCCCAGAACAGCCUGACCUGGCCUCUCCCAUGGGCUGCAGAGGACCCAGCUUGCAGCGAGGCACGGGCACAGCGUUGUUAGAGCGCAUUGCUGGGUGCGGGAGGGGAAAGGAACUAAAAUUAAAGUGUUACAAGCAAUCUGUUAGUCCGGAUGUUGGGUGGUUGCUAAUAGUCCCAGCCCAGGCCAAAGUCAGUAUGCAAUUAGCAUCUAUCAAGAGACGAAGUGGAGAGCAGCCCUUGCAGGAGGCUCACCCACCGCUCCCAGCCCGCACCAGCUGGGUUGGACCAGCUCUGUGGUGCCACGAGAUGCACCUCCGUGCAUUACAUCUGGUCUCUGGAUCUGAGACGUUCCUAGAGCAGGAGGCGGUGCUGCGCAUUGGCUGGGAGUGAUGGGAGCUCAGGUGUGCCUCCCACUUCACCCAGCCUUCGUCUUCAGUCCUUCCCUACGUCUCAUGAACACAUCUAUCGAAUAGAGCUUAGAGUCUGCACAGCGAAACCACAGUGCCACAGGGCUCCCAUCUCUCGGUGUGUGAGCGAGGACACGCGGACACCGCACCCGGAGCCAGCGGAGCGGUGCCAGGAGCAGCAGUAAGUAUGCGGGGUGGGCACGGGGCCAUGGGACACGCGGGGACACCUCCCUGAUGCCAGGACCGCGCUGCUCGGGGUCAUGGGACGUCUCGGCAGCCCCUGCGGAGUCAGCACGGAGCACGCAGAUGGGAUAGUUCUGUUGACUUUUUGCUGUCAUCGGUGAGUCAGCGGCAAGUCCCAGUCUGUAUGUCGGCAGGGAGGGGCCAGCCAGGAAAUCAGUCACAAAAAUGGAAAAAAAAAA